CAGUCGCCGCGGGAAUACAGAGGGUGCAAGCGUUAAUCGGAAUUACUGGGCGUAAAGCGCGCGUAGGUGGUUUGUUAAGUUGGAUGUGAAAGCCCCGGGCUCAACCUGGGAACUGCAUCCAAAACUGGCAAGCUAGAGUACGGUAGAGGGUGGUGGAAUUUCCUGUGUAGCGGUGAAAUGCGUAGAUAUAGGAAGGAACACCAGUGGCGAAGGCGACCACCUGGACUGAUACUGACACUGAGGUGCGAAAGCGUGGGGAGCAAACAGGAUUAGAGACCCCUGUAGUCCCUGUCUCUUAUAC
rnacentral:rRNA from 1 species